GACGAACGCUGGCGGCGUGCUUAACACAUGCAAGUCGAACGCUGAAGCCCAGCUUGCUGGGUGGAUGAGUGGCGAACGGGUGAGUAACACGUGAGUAACCUGCCCCCUUCUUUGGGAUAACGCCCGGAAACGGGUGCUAAUACUGGAUAUUCACUGAUCUUCGCAUGGGGGUUGGUGGAAAGGUUUUUUCUGGUGGGGGAUGGGCUCGCGGCCUAUCAGCUUGUUGGUGGGGUGAUGGCCUACCAAGGCUUUGACGGGUAGCCGGCCUGAGAGGGUGACCGGUCACAUUGGGACUGAGAUACGGCCCAGACUCCUACGGGAGGCAGCAGUGGGGAAUAUUGCACAAUGGGCGAAAGCCUGAUGCAGCGACGCCGCGUGAGGGAUGACGGCCUUCGGGUUGUAAACCUCUUUCGCUCAUGGUCAAGCCGCAACAGUGGUUGUGGUGAGGGUAGUGGGUAAAGAAGCGCCGGCUAACUACGUGCCAGCAGCCGCGGUAAUACGUAGGGCGCGAGCGUUGUCCGGAAUUAUUGGGUUUAAAGGGAGCGUAGGCGGAUUGUUAAGUCAGCGGUUAAAGGGUGUGGCUCAACCAUGCAUUGCCGUUGAAACUGGCGAUCUUGAGUGCAGACAGGGAUGCCGGAAUUCGUGGUGUAGCGGUGAAAUGCUUAGAUAUCACGAAGAACUCCGAUCGCGAAGGCAGGUGUCCGGGCUGCAACUGACGCUGAGGCUCGAAAGUGUGGGUAUCAAACAGG
rnacentral:rRNA from 1 species